rnacentral:rRNA from 1 species
UAGGGAAUCUUCGGCAAUGGACGAAAGUCUGACCGAGCAACGCCGCGUGAGUGAAGAAGGGUUUCGGAUCGUAAAACUCUGUUGUUAGAGAAGAACAAGGACGUUAGUAACUGAACGUCGCCUGACGGUAUCUAACCAGAAAGCCACGGCUAACUACGUGCCAGCAGCCGCGGUAAUACGUAGGUGGCAAGCGUUGUCCGGAUUUAUUGGGCGUAAAGCGAGCGCAGGCGGUUUCUUAAGUCUGAUGUGAAAGCCCCCGGCUCAACCGGGGAGGGUCAUUGGAAACUGGGAGACUUGAGUGCAGAAGAGGAGAGUGGAAUUCCAUGUGUAGCGGUGAAAUGCGUAGAUAUAUGGAGGCACACCAGUGGCGAAGGCGGCUCUCUGGUCUGUACCUGACGCUGAGGCUCGAAAGCGUGGGGAGCAAACAGG